UGGGGAAUUUUGGACAAUGGGCGAAAGCCUGAUCCAGCAAUGCCGCGUGUGUGAAGAAGGCCUUCGGGUUGUAAAGCACUUUUGUCCGGAAAGAAAUCCUUGGCUCUAAUACAGUCGGGGGAUGACGGUACCGGAAGAAUAAGCACCGGCUAACUACGUGCCAGCAGCCGCGGUAAUACGUAGGGUGCAAGCGUUAAUCGGAAUUACUGGGCGUAAAGCGUGCGCAGGCGGUUUGCUAAGACCGAUGUGAAAUCCCCGGGCUCAACCUGGGAACUGCAUUGGUGACUGGCAGGCUAGAGUAUGGCAGAGGGGGGUAGAAUUCCACGUGUAGCAGUGAAAUGCGUAGAGAUGUGGAGGAAUACCGAUGGCGAAGGCAGCCCCCUGGGCCAAUACUGACGCUCAUGCACGAAAAGCGUGGGGAGCAAACAGGAUUAGAUACCCUGGUAGUCCACGCCCUAAACGAUGUCAACUAGUUGUUGGGGGAUUCAUUUCCUUAGUAACGUAGCUAACGCGUGAAGUUGACCGCCUGGGGAGUACGGUCGCAAGAUUAAAACUUAAAUGAAUUGACGGGGUCAUAGCUG
rnacentral:rRNA from 1 species